UAUGUGCAACCCUGGAUUAGUGGCCAACUGAUAAAUGUGAUUACAAUCAAUGUCCUUGGGGAAAAGCUGGAAUUUUUAAUCUGGAUUUGAAGAACAAGACCUUGAUCAAUGCAGUAAAGGCAUUCAAUACAAUAAGGAUCAGAAUUGGAGGUUCAUUGCAAGACCAAAUUAUUUAUAAUUUUGGUUAUGGAGUGAAAGACUGCAACCAAAUCGUGAAAGAUGGUUCUGGGCCUUUCUUGUUCCGUGGCGGUUGUCUUCAGCCGAAAAGAUGGGAUGAGAUCUAUGAGUUCUUCAACCAAACACAAGCCAAACUCUUGUUUGGAUUGAAUGCCCUUCAUGGGAAGAAAGCGGACCCUAAAGACAAGAUUCUUUGGGUUG